rnacentral:lncRNA from 1 species
GGACCUAUUUGCAACCAUAAUUCAAAAUGAUCUAUAUAUAGUUUUGAUAAGUUAUGCACAUUUUAACCAAAAACAAACAAACAAUUAAGCCUUCGUUUGGGAUUGCGGAAAGAUUGCGUUACGUGCGGUGAGAAAGUACGUUGGAAAAAUAUCCCGUUUGUUUCCGUACAUAAUAUUGCGUUCCGCAUAUCGCGAUGAGUCGGUUACAAUAUAUUUUCUGCGCUCCCACCGAAAAACGCAGAAGCAUAUCCUUAUAUGUUUUUUUCUCAACUCCAUUUUAUGAAAUAGCGUUAGAUAGGCCUCAAUACCAAACUAAGCCUAAACCCCAAGCAUUGAUGGAGUUUUGGGGAGUUGUUGGGUAGCUUUUCGUGUA